AACGUAGGAGGCGAGCGUUAUCCGGAUUUACUGGGUGUAAAGCGCGUGCAGGCGGUCUGGUAAGUGGUGCGUGAAAGCGCCCGGCUCAACCGGGCGAGGCCGUGCCAAACUACCAGGCUGGAGGCAGGUAGAGGCGUGUGGAAUUCCGGGUGUAGUGGUGAAAUGCGUAGAGAUCCGGAGGAACACCAGUGGCGAAGGCGACACGCUGGGCCUGACCUGACGCUCAGACGCGAAAGCAUGGGGAGCGAACGGG
rnacentral:rRNA from 1 species